UGUAUCGAAACUCGACUAAUUAUUAUUUAUUGGUGCGCACCGUUUGAAAUCGAGUACAAUAGUCUGUACCUAAGUGUCUGUAUUAAUGUAUACCGUGUUCAACAUUUGUAGCAGUUUCCACUCGUGUUAAUAAAUAUUUUUAAUUUUUUUCGUUCUAUAAAAUAAUAAAAUUGUAUGUCAUAUUAUUGUUUUGUAUUACCUACAUGGGUAUUACCCAUAUAUUUUUAUGUAUAUAAUGUACAGAGUAAAACGAAAAUGUGUCCACGUUAAUUUUGUGUUAUUAAAUAUCAAUAGAAUAUUACAUGCGUGUGUCGAAAUUCUCAUUCCUGGCUCCUGUUGUCUAUAGGUCAGCGGGCGUCACGCAAACGGCCAAAUUCGUGUUAAAAUGCCAACCCCUAUACGAGCCUCUCCCCCCUUCCCGGACAUCACUGCAUAAAAAGUAAGUUGAAGGACACCGCGCGUACACAUGAAAACAACUACCAGUUUUAUACCAUGCUGCCGAAUAACGUCGUUCUAUUUACCAUUUCAACGAAUCGGUAUAAUUAAUUUGACUUCUCAACGACCAUUAAACACGAAACUCCCCUUCGUGAGCGAGAAGUCCCGGAAAACAUCUGCAGCAAAAUUGUUUCAAGCAAACCUUCGCUCUCCCUGCGCCCACCUCGUCGACGAAAAUCUAGUUUUGAACCCGCCGCUUUGCGAAUUUUGAAGUGCCUCAUCAAGCCUAUAAAAUAGAGACGUUCUAUCCACAGCCAACUUAUCCAGAGAAAUCGGCUCUAAAACAGAAGUCCGAUACAACAUAAUAUUAGGUUUCUGAAAUAUUAUAAUAGUUGUACGUUUGUGAAUGCUACGAUUAAAGAUAUGCAGAUGGUUACCCAUCGGGACUACUGUCUUGGUGACAAAUGAAUUGGUAAGCAAAACAUAAACUGUAUAGCUCUCCAAACGGUAUGGAAUCAUAAUAAUUACUACUACGAUUAUAAAUCAUAACUCAAAGGUAUAUCAGUUAUUCUAUUCAGUGCUAUUAUAAGUAUAAAAAUUAAAAUAGCAUAAAAUAAGUUUUUAUAAUGUUGAUAUAUGGACGGUAAUAGUUUUUUUUACAGCUGUAUUAUAGUCACUUCGGAAAACCAUUCGUAAGGAGUUUUUUUAUUAUAGGUUGAUGGGUAACGAGGAUAAUGCUAUCUUACAACAUGGUGAUGGUACCUAGUGUUAUAUAAAAUAUUUAAAAAAAAUUAAUUUUACUUUAUGCCUUAUGGAUAAUUAUAAUAAACGCACAAUUGGACACAGAGUACAAAUGUAAAUUAAAUAUACAUGUUUAGUAGUAAUAAUACAACGUGAUACAAAUUUUAUUUUAUUCUAUGAACUGUAAUCAUUUUUUAUUAACAAUUUAUUUAAAAAAAUAGAUUAAAAACUGUAAGUUUGUUUCCUAACAUUUGCACGACCAUGUGAGAAGGCAAUAAUAAAAUUUGUACUUGGGUAAAAAUAUGACGCACAGAAGUGAAUCUUAAAGUGACAUUAUUGAUACAUUUAAAGUUAUUAACAUUUUGGGACAGUCAGUUUGUUAAAUGUUAGUGUUUUCGUUUAUUUGUCAAAAAUAUCAAAAAGUGGUAAUUAUUGCAUUCAACAUUUCAACACGCAAUAUAACAGUUUAAGUGAAACAUUUAAAAAUAAUAAUUAACGCAAUCGUAGUAAGUCGGUGUUUACAUUCUAAAAAUACUCUUACCAUUCGGUAUAUUAUAUGCUCAAUUUGCUAAACGAAAUACGUUUUAAAAAUAGCAAGAAAAUUAUCCAUUUCAAACUUUUAAUAACUUAAAUGUACUAGCAAUAACGGUCUAAAAUAAUUUUAAAAAAUGUUACUGUAAAACCAUAAGCAAGUAAAUAAUAAGAUUGAUAUUCUAUUUGUUCCUAGAUUUAAUUUGAAUAAUGUUGAAAAUGUUAUAAUUGUAAGAAUUAACAUCAACAUUGCUUCGGAUG